UACAGAGGUCUCAACCGUUGUUCGGAUUCACUGGGCGUAAAGGGUGCGUAGGUGGUUAGGUAAGUCCGAUGUGAAAUCUCCAGGCUCAACCUGGAAAUGGCAUUGGAUACUAUUUAGCUUGAGGAGUGGAGGGGGGACUGGAAUUCUCGGUGUAGCAGUGAAAUGCGUAGAUAUCGAGAGGAACACCAGUGGCGAAGGCAAGUCCCUGGACACUUCCUGACACUGAGGCACGAAAGCUAGGGGAGCAAACAGG
rnacentral:rRNA from 1 species